rnacentral:rRNA from 1 species
CCUACGGGUGGCAGCAGUAGGGAAUAUUGCUCAAUGGGGGAAACCCUGAAGCAGCAACGCCGCGUGGAGGAUGAAGGUCUUAGGAUUGUAAACUCCUUUUGUUAGAGAAGAUUAUGACGGUAUCUAACGAAUAAGCACCGGCUAACUCCGUGCCAGCAGCCGCGGUAAUACGGAGGGUGCAAGCGUUACGCGGAAUUACUGGGCGUAAAGAGUGCGUAGGCGGGGAAGUAAGUCAGUUGUGAAAUCCUGUAGCUAAACUACAGGACUGCAUUUGGAACUGUUGGGCUGGAGUGGGGGAGGGGUAGGGGGAAUUCUUGGGGUAGGGGUGAAA